UAAUACGUAGGGGGCAAGCGUUGUCCGGAUUUAUUGGGCGUAAAGAGCGUGUAGGCGGCCAGGUAGGUCUGCUGUGAAAACUCGAGGCUUAACCUCGAGCUGUCGGCGGAAACCAUCUGGCUAGAGUCCGGAAGAGGAGAAUGGAAUUCCCGGUGUAGCGGUGAAAUGCGCAGAUAUCGGGAAGAACACCCGUGGCGAAGGCGGUUCUCUGGGACGGUACUGACGCUGAGACGCGAAAGCGUGGGGAGCGAACAGGAUUAGAUACCCUGGUAGUCCACGCCGUAAACGAUGAGUGCUAGGUGUGGGGGGUGUCGACUCCCUCCGUGCCGCAGCUAACGCAUUAAGCACUCCGCCUGGGGAGUACGGCCGCAAGGCUA
rnacentral:rRNA from 1 species